rnacentral:rRNA from 1 species
GACGAACCGUGCGAACGUUGUUCGGAAUCACUGGGCUUAAAGGGCGCGUAGGCGCUCCGCAAGUCGGGGGUGAAAUCUUUCGGCUUAACCGGAAAAGUGCCUCUGAUACUGCGGAGCUCGAGGGAGGUAGGGGCGGACGGAACUUCCGGUGGAGCGGUGAAAUGCGUUGAUAUCGGAAGGAACGCCGGUGGCGAAAGCGGUCCGCUGGCCCUCUACUGACGCUGAGGCGCGAAAGCCAGGGGGAGCAAACGGGG